ACCUUCCCAGUUGGAUAGACCCUUCCAGUAGACAAGACCCUUCCAGUACGCUAGGUCCUCCCAGUAAGACCCUUCCAGUUGGCUAGGUCCUCCCAGUAAGACCUUUCCAGUAGGCUAGGUCCUUCCAGUUGGAUAGACCCUUCCAGUUGGCUAGGUCCUCCCAGUAAGACCUUCCCAGUUGGCUAGGUCCUCCCAGUAAGACCCUUCCAGUAGACCUCUUCCAGUUGGCCAACCCAAUCCACUCAACUCCUCCAGCCAACUGGUUCCACCUGGCCCCAAACUCCUCCACUCUUUCCCCAAAAACGUCUCCACUCAUUCCCCAAAAUUUUCUCCGCUCGUUCCCCAAAAUUCUCCGCUCUUUCUUUCCCCCAAAAACACCUCCGUUCAUUCCCCAAAAACGUCUCCGCUCUUUCUUUCCCCAAAUUUUCUCCGCUCGUUCCCCAAAUUUUCUCCGCUCUUUCCCCAAAAUUUCUCCACUCGUUCCCCAAAAUUCUCCGCUCUUUCUUUCCCCCAAAAACGCCUCCGUUCAUUCCCCAAAAACGUCUCCGCUCUUUCUU
rnacentral:lncRNA from 1 species